UACGAAGGGGGCUAGCGUUGUUCGGAAUUAUUGGGCGUAAAGGGUGCGUAGGUGGCAUGGUAAGUCGGAUGUGAAAUCCCGGGGCUUAACCCCGGAACUGCAUUCGAUACUGCCAGGCUAGAGUACUGGAGAGGAGAUUGGAAUUUACGGUGUAGCAGUGAAAUGCGUAGAUAUCGUAAGGAAGACCAGUGGCGAAGGCGGAUCUCUGGACAGUUACUGACACUGAGGCACGAAGGCCAGGGGAGCAAACGGG
rnacentral:rRNA from 1 species